rnacentral:rRNA from 1 species
AACGAACGCUGGCGGCACGCCUAACACAUGCAAGUCGAGCGCUACCUUCGGGUGGAGCGGCGGACGGGUUAGUGACGCGUGGGAACAUGCCCUUCACUAAGGAGUAGCCACUGGAAACGGUGAGUAAUACCUUAUACGCCCUUCGGGGGAAAGAUUUAUCGGAUUUGGAUCGGCCCGCGUUAGAUUAGAUAGUUGGUGGGGUAAUGGCCUACCAAGUCUACGAUCUAUAGCUGGUUUUAGAGGAUGAUCAGCAACACUGGGACUGAGACACGGCCCAG